GAUGAACGCUGGCGGCGUGCCUAAUACAUGCAAGUCGAGCGAACAGACGAGGAGCUUGCUCCUUCGACGUUAGCGGCGGACGGGUGAGUAACACGUAGGUAACCUACCUAUAAGACUGGGAUAACUUCGGGAAACCGGAGCUAAUACCGGAUAAUAUUUCGAACCGCAUGGUUCGAUAGUGAAAGAUGGCUUUGCUAUCACUUAUAGAUGGACCUGCGCCGUAUUAGCUAGUUGGUAAGGUAACGGCUUACCAAGGCAACGAUACGUAGCCGACCUGAGAGGGUCAUCGGCCACACUGGAACUGAGACACGGUCCAGACUCCUACGGGAGGCAGCAGUAGGGAAUCUUCCGCAAUGGGCGAAAGCCUGACGGAGCAACGCCGCGUGAGUGAUGAAGGUCUUCGGAUCGUAAAACUCUGUUAUUAGGGAAGAACAAACGUGUAAGUAACUGUGCACGUCUUGACGGUACCUAAUCAGAAAGCCACGGCUAACUACGUG
rnacentral:rRNA from 1 species